ensembl:lncRNA
GGUAUAAGAUAUUUUUCCACUUUAUACCAUCACAUUAUUUCUUCAUGGAAAAGAUAAAAACUGACCAUCGAGUCAGAAAACAGUUUUAAUAAAUAAACGAGGCUUGCUUUAAGACUCAUCUCACAUCAUGCGUCUCAUAGCAGAUGAGAAGAGCCUGAUUUGUUUAAUAUAUUGGCGCAAAAUCCGCGAGGCUCUGCAAUGCGUCAGUUUUCCAUCCGCUCCACGAGGCGGCGCAAUCGGGUUUCAGCUUCAGUCUGACUUCCUCGCUGCUUGACCACGUGACGCGUGACGACAGUCACAACAACAACACGUGCAGGUCCUGCAGAUGAUUUAGUCUUAAAAGCUGUCAGUGUCACUUUGACAGCACAUCUUUCAGCUCACCUGCAAACAAAACAGACACACAGUCUGAUAAAACCGAGUGUCACGCGACUCACCUAAGAAGUGAUGUGUUGUUGGUUGGAAGCAGAGCUCUGGACGUGUGGACAGAUGUUGACUGUAAUGAUGGACAUCUGCUCAUGGACAGUGUGUCCAAAAGUAUAACCGCUGCGGGUCACAGUGCUGGAAGCUCCAGGGGAGACCGUACUGAUAUCCCCCUUCUUCAGGCGCGCCUUCACACACACUCCUCCAUUCACUCGUAUCGCAGAGACCUGGCUGGGAUCGAACCAGCAACCUCUGAACCGUGAGGCAGCGCUCUUACCUGCGAGCCACAGAUCUCUUGCUGGAGCACCUGAAGGAACUUAUAUUUGACUGUUUACCUGUGAUUUCCCAAUAAAGAAGUUAAAAUAAGCUGGGUAUAUGAUUUU